GACGAACGCUGGCGGCGUGCUUAACACAUGCAAGUCGAACGAUGAAGCGGGUGCUUGCACUCGUGGAUUAGUGGCGAACGGGCGAGUAACACGUGAGUAACCUGUCCUUUUCUUUGGGAUAACGGCUGGAAACGGCUGCUAAUACUGGAUAUUCAGGCUGCAUCGCAUGGUGUGGUUUGGAAAGGUUUUUUCUGGGAUUGGGUGGGCUCGCGGCCUAUCAGCUUGUUGGUGGGGUGAUGGCUUACCAAGGCUUUGACGGGUAGCCGGCCUGAGAGGGUGGUCGGUCGCACUGGGACUGAGAUACGGCCCAGACUCCUACGGGAGGCAGCAGUGGGGAAUAUUGCACAAGGGACGAAAGUUUGAUGCAGCGACGCCGCGUGGAGGGUGUAGGCCUUCGGGUUGUGAACUCCUUUUUCUCGCGAAAAAGGCACAGUUUUGGCUGUGUUGAUGGUAGUGGGGGAAGAAGCGCCGGCUAACUACGUG
rnacentral:rRNA from 1 species